UAUGCUGCCACCAGGGGUGAGGGAGAUGAUCUACCCAUCAUGCAUCUGGGUGCUCACGCCCACUUGUGAUGUCACAAAUGGAUCGAUUUUGAAACCACUGUGAAUGUCUUCAAGACUGCAGGCACCAGUUAACAUAUGGGGUAGGAGUGUGUGUGGAGGACACACAUACAUACAUAGGAGCUCUAAUGUCUUCUUGCACUAGGACGGGUUGCUGGUUCCAUUCUCUACCUGGCCUCCGCUAUGGGGUGUUAUUUGAGCACGACGCCCAAGCAGGAGUCCUGAGCACCGGAGCGUUUUUUUCAAAGUACAGUCACUGACUAGAGGCCAACUAGCCGCUGGAAGGAAGACAACAUGUUGAACCCCACACUUAAUUAUCUUCUCACCGGACAGCGUCUACCCUGGGAUGUGGCGACACCCAGUGGAACACUGGGCUCAGUUUACUUAAGUCAAGUUGAACCAACUCAGGAAUAUUUUUAACAUUCAUAUUUAUAUAGACACACACCCACACAUAUUUAAAUUAUCAUGAAAGCAUUGGCACCUGAGCUCUGCAAUCCAAAAUGUAAAUCAUCCAUCAGGUGUCAAUUGUUCGAUAUAAUCAUAGUUCCCCGUUUACUGGGAGUUGUGGUACAGAGUUGUGGUACAAUCUUAGUUUUUAGCGGAGCUUGGUUGGUGUUGGUCUGGUCUAACUCAUGUCUCCAGGUUCACUGGAGCUCUGGCCCAGCAGGGGACCGGUGAAGGUGGUGGAUGUGGUGGGGAAAGGAAGAUGUGGAAACAGGAUGGAUUUGAGGAGCAGUUUAAUCAGGACAGAGUUCCACAUCAACACAGAGAGAGGUGCGCUCUGUAGGAAUGUUGGCCAGAAGACUCAACGGAUGACAGCAUAAUAAAUACCACUGGAUUUAUUAUCACUGGAAAUUACUAAGUGCAAUGCUCCUCUUGUCAUAUACUCCCUGAAGGGUUUUCUAGAUAAUUACUCUAGCUAUAGAAUCUCUAGAUAUAGAUUUUCUAAGUUACGGGUACAGUAAAGGGAAACCUUUCUGGUGUUAGAAAACUUCCAAUGGACAGGUUUCUCUAGACAGUUUGAUACUUUAGGGGAAAUCUUUCUCUAGAAAAUAAGACACUAUUAAUCAUGAUCGUUAAAUUAUUCAAACAGGCGUCUCUGAAGAGUUAAAUACUUUGAAGAAAAAAGUAUCUGGAGAAGGCAACGGAUCAAUGUUAACAGGACCGAUCAUUCCAUAGCUCCUGACCGUAAAUAAUUAUUAAAUAAUUAAAACAGAGGCUUAAGAGCACUCUGGGAGGGCUAUCACAGUGAAGGAAUAACAGUAUCACCGACAUAUCUGAGCACUCGGGGAAAGAGAAGGCCUACCGCCCAGUGUAGAGGAGAAGGCCUUCCGCCCAGUGUAGAGGAGAAGGCCUACCGCCCAGUGUAGAGGAGAAGGCCUUCCGCCCAGUGUAGAGGAGAAGGCCUACCGCCCAGCCUAGAGGAGAAGGCCUACCGCCCAGCCUAGAGGAGAAGGCCUACCGCCCAGCCUAGAGGAGAAGGCCUACCGCCCAGCCUAGAGGAGAAGGCCUACCGCCCAGCCUAGAGGAGAAGGCCUACCGCCCAGCCUAGAGGAGAAGGCCUACCGCGCAGUCUAGACUGGCUGUUUGGGGUCAGAAGGCCUACCGGUUGUUUGGGGAGUAGCAUCACAGAUGUACACUUCAAGUAAUUUCAGGUAUGUCAAAUAAACAAUCAAUAUAAAUCAUUAAAAAUAUUAUAGAUCUGUUUUCAUACCAAAUGAGGAACAUCUUUAAAGGAUGUCAUACAAAAGAUAAAAAAAACUUCCAGGAACCAUGGAAAUGUUUUGAUUGGCUGUGAAUGCUAAUGCUAAAUUAUGGGAUGUAGCAAGUCUGCAAACACACAAAAAAGGAACAAUUCAAACAAGCGACGGCAAAUAAAAUAGAAAAAAAUCAAAGACGUCUUCCAUCGACAGUACGGACUACAGUACAGACUGUGCUACAUCCCACAUCCUAACAGCGCUUCACUAAAAUACAUUUCAUGGUCCUUGCAUAUAGAAUUGUACAGCUACAUUUCAACCCAGGAAAUGUAGGCAGGCUUCAUGUGAAGUUACGAAACAUAUACAAAUAUAAUUCAUAAUAUAAUUUGUAUAAGAGAAAAUAAUUAUCAAAACUAUGGGGGUGACAUCACAUUCUAUAUGCUUUUGUAAAAGGGGGGUUCAGAGCUCGAGUAAGGAGGGGGGGGGGGAGAGGGGAGGGGAGAGAGAUGAGAACGAUGACAUCACAAAGGCCCCGGUUUAACACCACAUGUCACAUGACCUAACCAGUGGCUUCGUGAUUGGCCAUCAUUAUAACAAGUAUAAAACACACUGGACAUAUGGAACGGUUGCGGUACUGACCGCGUUGCCAGAUUGGGCCAGGUUGGACGGGAUAUCUCUCCCAAUCUGGCAACACUGCGCACGGACAUCCACGUGAUGGUGGCCAAAGGUUGCUCACAGUAAUGCUGAGCUCAGGGCGCCCUGACGGAGGGCGGCAGUGAACCGGUUCACAGAGUUCAGACCUCAAAUAUAAAAACACUCAAGUAAAACACCACAGGGGUCCACCACGACAUCCUCUCUGCCCCAGAGGGCACUUUCAGUUACCAAGAACGACUUGAAACACAUUACAGUGACACGUUAUAACAUCUGCUUAAAAAAAAACAAACAUGUUACCCUGCAUCACAAACGCUACCAGUGACGACGUUGCCUUAUAAAAGGUGGCGGUCUAGUGGUACCUCCCGGGGUAAGGCCUGGGUAGACCAGGAUGAACCCUGCUCUUCUCUCAGGUCCGGACCUGCCGCCGACCGCCUCUGAGGUCUGACGGAGACCCACUAGACUAUGAAGACACACUACAUUACCACACACACGCUAUUCAGAACCAGAAGGGGGGGGUGACUGGUUGACUAGGACCACUGAGUCGGUGCCACUAAGAAUAUCCAGACGGUUGAUUCGGGAAUCCUGAGGGGGACUUCUACUUUGAAGCCGAGCAACAGGAUGUGAGGCACCGCUGUUCACCUGCGGGGCUGUGCGUUUAUUCACCAUCUUCGCUGAUCGGUUAAUCGUGUACGGCAAAGAGCAGGGCAAGAGCUAGGAAUUAAAGAGCAGAUCUAGGACUUAAAGAGCAGUUCUAGAGCCAGGAUUCAAAGAGCAGUUUUAGAGUAGCAGGUCAGAGUUCGGAGUCCGGAGUCAAGCAGACUAGCUAACAGGUAUGUAAAAGUAAGCUAGCCGAAGUGUCUAAUGUGAAACACGGUGGAUGCGAUUGGCUGGACAGGCUGCUGUGGCGCUGUGUUCAUCCUUAUACCUACUCAACUACAUCAUCACUUAUCACUACGCCAAAGGUUAGCCCAGCUGUAGCUCCAACGCUAGCCAACACUACAGGAAGGUUAGCCCAGCUGUAGCUCCAGCGCUAGCCAACACUACAUGGAGGUUAGCCCAGCUGUAGCUCCACCGCUAGCCAACACUAUAGGAAGGUUAGCCCAGCUGUAGCUCCACCGCUAGCCAACACUACAGGAAGGUUAGCCCAGCUGUAGCUCCACCGCUAGCCACGCUCCAUGAAGGUUAGCCCAGCUGUAGACAGGUAAUCUCCUUGACAAGCAUAUGAGCAGAAACACCAGCAGGAAGUGACAUCACAUCCACAGGUUUCUUCCUGUGCUCCUAUAGGCCUGAAGAGGUUCCAGGUACUGCUGCCGACCCGACAGGUCAUCUAAAUUGGCGUGUUCACACCGCGGCGCAGCUAGACAGGGGACCCCAUAGGCUCUGUGGCGCAGCUGGAGAGGGGAACCCAUAGGCUUUGAGAGUCAGCUGGACAGGGGACCCCAUAGGCUCAGUGGCGCAGCUAGACAGGGGACCCCAUAGGCUCUGUGGCGCAGCUGGAGAGGGGAACCCAUAGGCUCUGUGGCGCAGCUGGAGAGGGGAACCCAUAGGCUCUGUGGCGUAGCGAGACAGGGGAACCCAUAGGCUCUGUGGCGCAGCUGGAGAGGGGAACCCAUAGGCUCUGUGAGUCAGCUGGACAGGGGACCUCAUAGGCUCUGUGGCGCAGCUAAACAGGGGACCCCAUAGGCUCUGUGGCGCAGAUAGACAGGGGAACCCAUAGGCUCUGUGGCGCAGCUAGACAGGGGACACCAUAGGCUCUGUGGCGCAGCUGGACACGGGGAACCCAUAGGCUCUGUGGCGCAGCUAGACAGGGGAACCCAUAGGCUCUGUGGCGCAGCUGGACAGGGGACCCCAUAGGCUCUCAACCAGGGCCUCAUUAGGACGGGGGGGGUCUGGGGCCAGCGGGAGCAGGUCUGGACUCUGCUGAACUGAGGUACAUGGACUUCAUCUCGGAGCUCGUCAGUUAUUCUUCUUCCUUUUAUAAUAUUAUAUUCUCUUGGAGAUAAAAUGUGCUCUUCGUCUUCUGUACAAAAAUAACUUAGAAAAACACGCAGAGUGGCGAACUGUUCAGUAGACGAGAUCCUCGCCUUGACCUUCGACCUCCCGGGCGGGACAGCGCCCCACGGUCAUGUGACGCUGUCGUCUCCACGACGAUGUUGGCAGCUCGUGUGUGUGUGUGUGUGUGUGUGUGUGUGUGUGUGUGUGUGUGUGUGUGUGUGUGUGUGUGUGUGUGUGUGUGUGUGUUAGUGUGUGUGUGUGUGUGG
ensembl:lncRNA